rnacentral:rRNA from 1 species
UACAGAGGUCCCAAGCGUUUGUUCGGAUUCACUGGGCGUAAAGGGUGCGUAGGUGGUGAGGUAAGUCGGAUGUGAAAGCUCGGAGCUCAACUCCGAAAUGGCAUUGGAAACUACCUUGCUCGAGGGUUGGAGGGGGGACUGGAAUACUUGGUGUAGCAGUGAAAUGCGUAGAUAUCAAGUGGAACACCAGUGGCGAAGGCGAGUCCCUGGACAACUCCUGACACUGAGGCACGAAAGCUAGGGGGAGCAAACAGG